AACGAACGCUGGCGGCAGGCCUAACACAUGCAAGUCGAGCGCUUCCUUCGGGAAGAGCGGCGGACGGGUUAGUAACGCGUGGGAACGUGCCUCUCUCUACGGAAUAGCCAUUGGAAACGAUGAAUAAUACCGUAUACGCCCUUCGGGGGAAAGAUUUAUCGGAGAGAGAUCGGCCCGCGUUAGAUUAGUUAGUUGGUGGGGUAACGGCUUACCAAGACGACGAUCUAUAGCUGGUUUGAGAGGAUGAUCAGCAACACUGGGACUGAGACACGGCCCAGACUCCUACGGGAGGCAGCAGUGGGGAAUCUUAGACAAUGGGGCAACCCUGAUCUAGCCAUGCCGCGUGAGUGAAGAAGGCCUUAGGGUCGUAAAGCUCUUUCGCCUGUGAAGAUAAUGACGGUAGCAGGUAAAGAAACCCCGGCUAACUCCGUGCCAGCCGCCGCGGUAAU
rnacentral:rRNA from 1 species